rnacentral:lncRNA from 1 species
AUGCACCGCUCCGUCUUGUUGGAGAAGCAGCUUGUUGGGACGUCGAGGUGUCUGUUAAAAAUCCUGUGUGUAAUUGAGCGAUACAACAUAGGAGAUUCAUCUGGAGACCAUGAUAUAAUCACCGCAAUACAAGAUGAGGAGGAAGCGGCUCGUUGUGACGUCCAGGGGUCUGUUAAAAAGGAAGCGGCUCGUUGUGACGUCGAGGGGUCUGUUAAAAAUCCUGUGUGUAAUUGA